rnacentral:rRNA from 1 species
AGAGUUUGAUCCUGGCUCAGGAUGAACGCUGGCGGCGUGCCUAAUACAUGCAAGUCGAACGCUUCACUUCGGUGAAGAGUGGCGAACGGGUGAGUAAUACAUAAGUAACCUGGCAUCUACAGGGGGAUAACUGAUGGAAACGUCAGCUAAGACCGCAUAGGUGUAGAGAUCGCAUGAACUCUAUAUGAAAAGUGCUACGGGACUGGUAGAUGAUGGACUUAUGGCGCAUUAGCUGGUUGGUAGGGUAACGGCCUACCAAGGCGACGAUGCGUAGCCGACCUGAGAGGGUGACCGGCCACACUGGGACUGAGACACGGCCCAAACUCCUACGGGAGGCAGCAGUAGGGAAUUUUCGGCAAUGGGGGAAACCCUGACCGAGCAACGCCGCGUGAAGGAAGAAGUAAUUCGUUAUGUAAACUUCUGUCAUAGAGGAAGAACGGUGGAUAUAGGGAAUGAUAUCCAAGUGACGGUACUCUAUAAGAAAGCCACGGCUAACUACGUGCCAGCAGCCGCGGUAAUACGUAGGUGGCGAGCGUUAUCCGGAAUUAUUGGGCGUAAAGAGGGAGCAGGCGGCACUAAGGGUCUGUGGUGAAAGAUCGAAGCUUAACUUCGGUAAGCCAUGGAAACCGUAGAGCUAGAGUGUGUGAGAGGAUCGUGGAAUUCCAUGUGUAGCGGUGAAAUGCGUAGAUAUAUGGAGGAACACCAGUGGCGAAGGCGACGAUCUGGCGCAUAACUGACGCUCAGUCCCGAAAGCGUGGGGAGCAAACAGGAUUAGAUACCCUAGUAGUCCACGCCGUAAACGAUGAGUACUAAGUGUUGGGUGUCAAAGCUCAGUGCUGCAGUUAACGCAAUAAGUACUCCGCCUGAGUAGUACGUUCGCAAGAAUGAAACUCAAAG